GAGGAGGACAGGGGCCAGUCGUCCGGAUUCACAGGGCAGCACAACCUGCUCCAGCCCAGCCUCAGCUCAUUAGCCAGCCCUGCUAAAAUGGAGGUGUCUUCACUUCCAAAGCCUCUGCUUUGACAUUCACACAGUGCUUCCAGUCGAUCAGGUCCCAGCUCUGAUAAAUUUGCAUCUCUUUGAAUGUGACGCUGAAAAAAAAAAGCAGGCGAAAAAGAGGGAGGGGAGAAAAAGGGCCCAGCCACUAGAUUAAAUUUUGCCGUCUAGAAAAUGAGAAAAAAGGGCCUCUAUCUCCUGGAGUCUACUGGGAAGAUCUUUAUUCUGAUUCUUGUUAGAAUUGUUUAUCACAGUGACAGAGCAGGCCUGAGCAGAGAUAAAGGCAGUGCUCCAUCACGCGCCCUGACAGUCGUAGGACAUGCAGUGGAAUGAAAGAAGCCAGGGAAAUAUUAUUAAUAGAUGCUGACUUGAUUUGCCUCGAUUGCACGUCAAGAAGAGGGGGCCAUGGCUUGAUUGCAGCCUAUGAAGUUCUGUCCAAAAGGAAAGCUAUUUUUCAUUAAGUGAUAGAAGUCUUUUUCUUUUUUUGGCUCCCUUUUGCUUUCCAAGCAGCUGAUAACUUAUGCAGUUUAUUCUAACCGUGCUGAUUUGUGUCAGUGAGAGAGAGACAGAGAGAGAGAGAGAGAGAGAGAGAGAAUGGGGCUUAUCUUGUCUUUUAUAAAAUAAACCGCCUUUCCUGGUAUAAUGUUAGUUUUGGUGCAAGUGAGGAGCUUGCAUGCACAUUUGACCUGUUCUUGUGAUCUACACGCAUGCAGCUGCAGUGUGGUUGGGGCAAUGCUGUGCAAAAAAAGUAUGCAGUACUGUAUGCUCAAUAUUCACAGGAUUAAAUGCAAUUACAACAAUAUCAGAUAUGCAUACUUCUGUAAAACCAGCUGUGCAAAUCCGUUUGAAUUUGUCACAUGUGCAAUAAUAAUUCACAUGUGUCGAAGUAAAGAUCACCACUGUAAGUGAAACUUUUGAGGCAAUUACCUUGACAAGUAAGUGAUUUUAUGACAAUGUAUGAUCAAUGUAGUUCUUUCACUACAAAAGGGAUACUGUGUUCUGUCUGAUUCCAAGCUUUCAGGAACAAAUCGAAAUGAAUGAGAGCUGCUUGAAUGGAAAUUGUACUUGCAUUUUACUUUCUGAAUAGGAAAGGGAACUUUUUGAAAGUAAUUAGCCACUGAUUUUCUUUUGGAAAGCCGAUAUGUUUGUAUAUAUAGUGGGGUUUAAAAUUACUCACUGGGAAUCUGGGAUUUUUUAUGUAAGAUGGAAGUUUUAGGUACAUCCUGAUAUAUACCUGAAAUAUGAUCUGAAAUAUCUCCUUGAUGAUUUGUAUAUGGUGUUCACGAGUUUUGCAAGGUAUAUUGUAAAUUGUAAAUCAAUUUCUAUGUAAUUCAUUUACUGUUGUCAAGGAACACGUUCUGACCUUCCAUACUAAUGGAUAUUUAAACAUGAAAAAGACACAGGGGAGAAGAGCGAGUGAAAACGAGAGUAAGAGAGGGAGAGAGACUAUAAGAAUGUAUACGAGCAGUGCGUGCUGAUGAAUCGCAGCAGGGAAGAUUUUAUCCAUGUUAUACGCUGCCAUUUUAUCAAUGUAGCAAUCAGUAGGCUAAUAGUCAUAUAAUGUAACAACGCUGGAAAUAGUCCAUGAUUUAAAAACCCAUCCCUGACAAUCUUGGAUAACCAUGUUUUGGAUUACUAUACAGGUUGAGAGCUGAUCAGACUCUGCCAGACCUUCAUCUGAUCAUAACUUGUUUUUUACACAUGGAAAAGAAAGGUAGAAUAUUUGUUUGUCAUCAUUCAGAUGAAUGGGAAAGAACUGAAAGUCCCACUGAAAUGAAAGAGAAAGGAUGCUUAUUUUACUUUGCAAUGUAAAGAGCAUGCUUUCAAAGCCAUGAAAUAUCAUUUUGAAUUUAAAAGCAUACGAGUACCAAAAUAUUUUCUUAUGUUGUCGUUGUAAACAAUGUAUAUG
ensembl:lncRNA